CUCGUGAGGAGCGCCGCGGCUUGCGUCAUGUCCGCUCUGAUAUCUACAAUAACAAGUCAUCCCUUCGGUUAAAACGCUUUUCUAGAUAUGGACGUUGCAUCGUGUUCAGGCAUUUUAACCACCAAGAUCAAGCAGUGUUAUUUGAUUCUUCCCAGCCAACCAGACAGAUUUUGAGCUUACUCUAAGCUUAAAUAUAAAGAACAUGUAUUAUUUAUAAAUCAACAUAAACAA